rnacentral:rRNA from 1 species
UACAGAGGUCUCAAGCGUUGUUCGGAUUCAUUGGGCGUAAAGGGUGCGUAGGUGGCGUCGUAAGUCGGGUGUGAAAUUUCGGAGCUUAACUCCGAAACUGCAUUCGAUACUGCGGUGCUUGAGGACUGGAGAGGAGACUGGAAUUUACGGUGUAGCAGUGAAAUGCGUAGAGAUCGUAAGGAAGACCAGUGGCGAAGGCGGGUCUCUGGACAGUUCCUGACACUGAGGCACGAAGGCCAGGGAGCAAACGGG